rnacentral:misc_RNA from 1 species
UACAGAGGGUGCGAGCGUUAAUCGGAAUUACUGGGCGUAAAGCGUGCGUAGGCGGUGAUGUAAGUUAGAUGUGAAAAGCUUGGGCUCAACCUGAGUCGUGCAUUUGAUACUGCAUCACUAGAGAUCGAUAGAGGAUGUUGGAAUUUCCAGUGUAGCGGUGAAAUGCGUAGAUAUUGGAAGGAACACUGAUGGCGAAGGCAAACAUCUGGGUCGAUACUGACGCUGAGGCACGAAAGCGUGGGGAGCAAACAGG